AGCGCGCGAGUUCGUGGGAAACUUGCUUUCCGCCUGCGAUCUUUGACUCGGGAGUCACGUGAAUCGCGAUAUGCUUUCUUUAGCCGGAGGCAACUGAAAGAGUGAUUGUUUUCUUGAAGAAGUGGAAGCUGCGAUUUCUGUUUCUAUCCUUGGGCAAAUAUUUCAUCCAAAAAAUUUUAAGAGCCGUGGGUAUAUUGUAAUUCCCAACCUUAAGUCAAAACAAGAUUAUUUCACGCCUUGAUUGUUACCAUGGAUUACGUAGAUUUCUGAAUAAUUCAUAGAGCGAGGGAAGAAACAAAAGCUCACCUUGGCGGGCACCAAGCGACGAACAUCUGUUAGUCUUACAGAUAAAAGCACAAAUGCCGGACAGCGAAAUAACAAGAAUUACAGGGACGACUGCGAACGGAUUCCUUUCGAAGAAUCUCCAGCCAAAAUAUAAAUACAUUGAAGACCCUGCCGAUGUCGUAUCACUGACUUACAAAAAUCAAUUCAGUCAGUUUAACGUGAAAUAUCACGAACUAAAAGUGAUUGCAUCGCCGAUCUUCGGCCGUUUCAGUGGCGAACGAGUCGUCUUUCAAUAUGACUGGGACACAGUUGUGGUAUCGACCGAAAAUAACUCAGUUUACGUCAUGUUUUUGCGAGCAGGGACUUCCCCAGAAAGUGUUCAACGAUUCUGUCUGAACUUUCUUUAUUCAAGCGACGCCGAGCGGAUUUUAAGGGAACAUAGAAUGAACGACGACGAGCUCAGCAUUACAUCAAAGGUGGAAAGAGUGCCCGCACCUCUGACGGUGCAGUGUCUUAGGUCAGUUGUUAUCAACAUGGAACGCAUGCCCAAGAAGGAGCUCCAGUAUCUACCCAGUCCCUAUCGAGAGCUUUUUGUCCCAGACUCUUUCAUUCCGGUCAAGUUUAACCUUUGGCCCCGACAUGUAUUUGGGAAAGGAGAGAGUACAAUUCUGAUGGUGAAAAAAGAAAUGAUCAUCAGCGAAGUACUGCUGUUAUUAAGGCAAAAAUUAGAGCUCAAAAACGAUUUAGACGUGUGCUUGUUCAGAAGGAGCCUUCCGGUUGAAGAAGAUGAGGUCAUUAUGGAUGGAAAUGUCUACUAUGAUUGCGUCGUUUCACCAUCUCAUAGCCCAACAGCCAUUGCCAGUGCAGUGCAGCUCGAAAAGCAUCACGGGAACAUACGGGCAAGCCCUAAUAAGGAGGUUAUUAUAGCAUCGCUGGUUGGAAGAGGAAUGAAAGAACUCCAAAUAAACCUGUCCCUUCCCCUCAGAUACCUAGACAUUCAGUUGCGCCAAAUGUUUCGACUCAAGCCGUGGAGUUUUCUAGUACUGUAUCUUCCAAGCGAGGGCCGCACCAUAUUUCACGCAGGAAGGAUGAUUUACUCAAGUUACGAAGAGGAAUUUGCUAAGUUUCUUGUAUCCAACGGGAAGAGAAAUUUUCCAAAGCCAGACCGAGGCAUGGAAACAUUAGGAGUCAAAGAUAUGUACAAGGAAUGCUCAGCUUUCAAGAAAUCACUUCGUAACCAUGGAUUUCGCCCUGGAAUAUUGGUAGAGGUUUUCGAGGUCACUGGGCCAAGUGUCCCGGUUAUGUACUCUGGCGCGGUUACAAAGGCUCAAGUCCUUGACGUGAAUCCGGAUUGGUCGCUUCAGACAUUCCUGUAUUACGUCAAAGUGAAUACUCCACAAGCAUCGAAGAUUGAAUCUAUCGACUAUGUGAGAGACUACAAGAACGGCAAAAUGACGGAUAUUUUGAACAUGAUGAAGAAUCUGUGGAAUCGGCCUGAUCAAGGAGGUCGACUUGAGUACGUCAGGUUACGCAGCUAAAAAAAAAAACCAUGAAGUACCUUAUAAACCCACAACUGGCUGAAAAAAUCAGUUGUUCAUAUUAAAUCUCGAAUGAUGGCGAAGUCGGUGAGCUCAUAGUGUCAAUUGGUACUUCAUGGGUCCAUCAGCCUAUCAGUUUGGCCAUCAGUCAAGCGAUUUCAAGGAGGGAUGGAUCACUUAUCUGUUAGAAAUGGAUGCAGAGACAUGUUACUGCUGUCACAAAGUUUUCACAGUAUUGUUCUAAUAAGGAUACAAAUUUAAAAACUUCACAUGAAACAAGCAUAUUUUUAGUUAAAACAUAAAUCUUCUUUCCUAACCGAUUUCUAAAUUGCUUGGCUUUCCCGACUGAAAUUUCGCCUUCUAAUGUCUUUCAUAAAGAUUGUUUUAUGUCGUUACAUGAAAUUUAAAACCGAAAUGGAGACAGUUCUCCUCCUAAGACACCUCACUUUCUUAGCGUAUAACGAUAGGAGUGGUUUCGGGAAAGAGAAUGGAAGUUAAUGUAAUCAGUAACUGGUGAAUGGUAACCUGUGUAAGUGUGUCACAAUUACAAAA
rnacentral:misc_RNA from 1 species